rnacentral:rRNA from 1 species
GCUUGUCUCAAAGAUUAAGCCAUGCACGUCUGAGAAUAAAGAGUUUUCUCUGAAUCUGCGAAUGGCUCAUUAUAUCAGUUAUAGUUUAUUUGAUAGUCCUUUACUACUUGGAUAACCGUGGUAAUUCUAGAGCUAAUACAUGCGAAAAGACGGGCCGCAAGGCUUGUUGUAUUUAUUAGAUAAAAAAUCAAUACCUGUUCUGCAGGUCCUAUUGGUGAGUCAUAAUAACUGUUCGAAUCGCAUGCUUCGGCAGGCGAUAGUUCAUUCAAAUUUCUGCCCUAUCAGCUUUCGACGGUAGUGUAGUGGACUACCGUGGCGUUAACGGGUAACGGAGAAUUAGGGUUCGAUUCCGGAGAGGGAGCCUGAGAAAUGGCUACCACAUCCAAGGAAGGCAGCAGG